UGUAUUCUUGGUUUAGCAAGGAUUUGACUUUGCAAGAUUCUGGUCUUCCAAAAACACUGGAAAAUUAACUGAAUAAGAAAAAUUUUCAUUUAACAAGAUGUUAUUGUUUAUUGUGGUGUGUGAAAUUUCUAUCUUCUCGGAUGGGCUGAAGAUGUUGUGACGCGUGUUAUUAGGGUACUCUUAAUCUUGACGUUGACUUCUAUUUGAUAGAAAACUUCUGGG
rnacentral:lncRNA from 1 species